rnacentral:rRNA from 1 species
GACGAACGCUGGCGGCGUGCUUAACACAUGCAAGUCGAACGAUGAAGAAAAGAAUUGAAGCUUCGGCAGAAAUUCAUUUCGGAUUAGUGGCAGACGGGUGAGUAACGCGUGAGCAACCUACCUCUUACAAAGGGAUAGCCUCGGGAAACCGGGAUUAAUACCAUAUAACAUUGCGACGAAGCAUUUCGAUGCAAUCAAAGCUACGGCGGUAAGAGAUGGGCUCGCGUCCCAUUAACCAGAUGGUGAGGUAACGGCUCACCAUAGUAACGAUGGGUAACCGGCCUGAGAGGGUGAACGGUCACACUGGAACUGAGACACGGUCCAGACUCCUACGGGAGGCAGCAGUGGGGAAUAUUGCACAAUGGAGGGAACUCAGAUGCAGCGACGCCGCGUGAGUGAUGAAGGAAUUCGUUUCGUAAAACUCUGUUCUAUGGGAAGAAAAGGACUGUACCAUAGGAGAAAGCUCCGGCUAAAUACGUG